CUUUUGAAUAAAUGACUACCAUCCUGGCCCAUUGUGCUCAUAUGGUGCUAUUACCCGCCAGUGCUGCGUGUGGCGCUGUGCUCAGACGCGCUCUUCUCUCCCGCCUUGCGGUCAAAGUGCGCUUGUAGUCCUUCCCUCAUUCGGCGGCAAGGCGUGCGAGUGUGCUACAAUAGCCUAUGCUAUUUAAAUAAACACAUUUUUCUUCCUUAAUACUACUUUAGCUGUACAGUCAUGAGUUUGCCGCUGAACCCCAAGCCCUUUCUGAACGGCCUCACGGGAAAGCCUGUGAUGGUGAAGCUGAAGUGGGGUAUGGAGUACAAGGGCUACCUGGUGUCCGUGGACGGCUACAUGAACAUG